rnacentral:rRNA from 1 species
AGUCACUGACAUUAGAUACCCGGGUAGUCCAGGGUGUAAACGCUGCAGACUUGGUGUUGGGAACCCUUCGGGGGUGCUCAGUGCCGGAGAGAAGUUGUUAAGUCUGCUACUUGGGGAGUACGUCCGCAAGGAUGAAACUUAAAGGAAUUGGCGGGGGAGCACCGCAACGGGAGGAGCGUGCGGUUUAAUUUGGAUUCAACGACCGAAAAACUCACCAGCAGCGACUGUUACAUGAAAGUCAGGUUGAUGACCUUACUAGAUUUUCAG